rnacentral:rRNA from 1 species
UACGGGGGGGUGCGAGCGUUUGUCCGGAAUCACUGGGCGUAAAGGGUGCGUAGGUGGUUGGGUAAGUUUGAUGUGAAAUCUCCGGGCUUAACCCGGAAACUGCAUUGAAUACUAUCUGGCUAGAGGGUUGGAGGGGGGACUGGAAUACUUGGUGUAGCAGUGAAAUGCGUAGAUAUCAAGUGGAACACCAGUGGCGAAGGCGAGUCCCUGGACAACUCCUGACACUGAGGCACGAAAGCUAGGGGAGCAAACAGG